AUACUCACCUGGCAGGGGAGACACCAUGAUGAAGAAGGUGGUUCACCUUUAGCGAGGCUUAGCCACUGCACUUCAGCUGUGCUGACCCGGAUGAAUUCCCCACAUGUGGGAAUCUGAAGUGCAUAACUUCUGGUAGUGGGAGACUGCGUCCGCGCUCUCUCCUG